CACGUAGGGCGCAAGCGUUGUCCGGAAUUAUUGGGCGUAAAGAGCUCGUAGGCGGUCUGUUGCGUCCGCUGUGAAAAGCUGGGGCUUAACCCUGGCCUUGCAGUGGAUACGGGCAGACUAGAGGUAGGUAGGGGAGAAUGGAAUUCCCGGUGUAGCGGUGAAAUGCGCAGAUAUCGGGAGGAACACCGGUGGCGAAGGCGGUUCUCUGGGCCUUACCUGACGCUGAGGAGCGAAAGCGUGGGGAGCGAACAGG
rnacentral:rRNA from 1 species